AUUGAACGCUGGCGGCAGGCCUAACACAUGCAAGUCGAGCGGAGCGGCGGACGGGUGAGUAAUGACUAGGAAUCUGCAUGGUAGUGGGGGAUAAAGUCCGGAAACGGGCGCUAAUACCGCAUCCUAUAAGAUGAGCCUAGGUCGGAUUAGCUAGUUGGGGGGGUAAAGGCCUACCAAGGCGACGAUCCCUAGCUGGUCUGAGAGGAUGACCAGCCACACUGGAAUUGAGACACGUUCCAGACUCCGACGGCAGGCAGCGGUGGGAAAUAUUGCACAAUGGGCGCAAUCCUGAUGCAGCCGUGCCGCGUGUAUUAAGAAGGCCGUCGGGUUGUAAAGCACUUUCAGCGGUGAGGCGUUACCCGCGGAAGAAGCACCGGCUAACUCCGUGCCAGCAGCCGCGGUAAUAC
rnacentral:rRNA from 1 species